rnacentral:rRNA from 2 species
UCUCGGCAACGGAUAUCUCGGCUCUCGCAUCGAUGAAGAACGCAGCAAAAUGCGAUACCUGGUGUGAAUUGCAGAAUCCCGCGAACCAUCGAGUCUUUGAACGCAAGUUGCGCCCGAGGCCAUUCGGCCGAGGGCACGCCUGCCUGGGCGUCACGCAAAACACGCUC